AGUCACUGACAUUAGUAUACCCGUACGUCCACGACCGUAAACUAUGCGCGUUAGGUGUACUGGUGACCACGAGUCACCGGGGUGCCGAAGGGAAACCGUGAAACGUGCCGCCUGGGAAGUACGGUCGCAAGGCUGAAACUUAAAGGAAUUGGCGGGGAGCACCACAACGGGUGGAGCCUGCGGUUUAAUUGGACUCAACGCCGGAAAUCUCACCGGAUAGGACAGACAUAUGAUAGUCGGGCUGAAGACUCUACUUGAUGAUCUG
rnacentral:rRNA from 1 species